UACGUAGGGGGCUAGCGUUGUCCGGAAUCAUUGGGCGUAAAGGGUGCGUAGGCGGCGUGGUAAGUCGGAUGUGAAAUCUCGGAGCUUAACUCCGAAACUGCAUUCGAUACUGCCGUGCUUGAGGACUGGAGAGGAGACUGGAAUUUACGGUGUAGCGGUGAAAUGCGUAGAUAUCGUAAGGAAGACCAGUGGCGAAGGCGGGUCUCUGGACAGUUCCUGACGCUGAGGCACGAAGGCCAGGGGAGCAAACGGG
rnacentral:rRNA from 1 species